rnacentral:rRNA from 1 species
UACGUAGGGUGCGAGCGUUGUCCGGAAUUACUGGGCGUAAAGAGCUCGUAGGUGGUUUGUCGCGUUGUCCGUGAAAACUCACAACUCAAUUGUGGGCGUGCGGGCGAUACGGGCAGACUGGAGUACUGCAGGGGAGACUGGAAUUCCUGGUGUAGCGGUGGAAUGCGCAGAUAUCAGGAGGAACACCGGUGGCGAAGGCGGGUCUCUGGGCCGAUACUGACGCUGAGGAGCGAAAGCGUGGGUAGCAAACGGG